ensembl:lncRNA
GUCGGGCCGCUCCGCCGCGCUCCGGGCAGCGGUACCCGCGGCUUCGCGGCACCGGGCGGGAGGGAUGGGGAGCACCGCGCACACGCGCUCUGCUCCAGGUGCGUGGGAGCGGGCUGGAAGAGAGGAGCCCCCGGGGCUGCUCUGCUAACAAAGCCCCCCCGGCGCAGGCUGCGGUCGGACCUCGCUAAAAACCUGCUUAGUGAUAUUUUAUCCUCUCCUAUUUCUUCUCUCUCUCUCUCUCUAUUUUUUUUUUUCUUUUUUCUUUUUUUUUUUUUCCCCGGCUUUGGGCUUGAUCCCGGCCUCCCAUUGAAGGCCAACUUGGCGAUCGUGUCUGCACUUUCCCUGUGAGUUCGCUGUUGCUGGGGAGGUCUGCAGGGAGGGGAUCCCCAGGACGGGUCCCGCAGCCCGGCGCUCCCCUCCGGCAGCGCAGGCACAGAGCCUCCCGCACCUCCGCCGCGAGCCCCAGAAGUUGGGACGUAAUAUGUAUUACAAUGUCUGGCAAAUAAUAGGGAGAAAAAAAAAAGGGGGGGGGGGGGGGGGGGGGGGGGGGGGGGAGAAAGAAAGAAAGAAAGAAAAAAAAGCAAUUGGCAAAUCUGCAUUCCGUUCCCAUGGCGACACAAAGCACCGCGCUCUCCGCCGAGCCGCCCCGGCACGUUUUUGCAGCCGGUGUGGGGUGAGCACCCCCGCCUGGGGUUGGAGUCCCUGGGUGCCCCGUGGGGCACUCAUAGGGUACGGCCGCAGCCCCUCGCCCGGUGCCCGCGGGGACGAUCCCUGCGCCCUCGGGGGCCGUGGCAGCCCCGGGGCGGGGGGGAUGCAGAAGGAGCCGUCCCCGCCGCCUUCCCGGGGCUCUUCGCUGCCCCCGCGGUGCGGGAGAGGAGCGAGAUGGGCAGGAUGCUGCCGCUCUCCCUCUGCUUGCACGUAUGGGUGCGGGUGCCCGGCCCCGUCCUUUUGGCACAGGGCAGAGGGCAGCAUCGGGGCCCGAGCCCGCGCCCAUCUGGGUGCAAGAGAGCGAAAAGUGGAAGCUCCGCGCACCCCGGGGGGCUCUGCACCAUCCCCAGCGCAGGGCCGGCAUCAGCCGCCGCAGAGACCCUUUCCAGGGCCAAACCACCGCCGUAACCCCAUCAGGAGAAAGGAUCUCAGCCUGAAUUCGGCUGUACCGUGGGAAAGCAAAGUUCCAAGGAGCGCUGUUAAUAGAGAUUCUAAUGAGGAGUCAUUGGAGAAAUUAAAAAGGGGCAGAGAGAGACGGCGGCGGCGGCGCUAAUUCCGCAGGAAACCUCCCAGGGAAAGGCAGCGCAGGCGGGAGCGCUGGGAAGCAUGAAGGCCUGGAAUUAGACUAUCAUUUAGAGAGCGUUACUAAUCUGAAGUUACAGCAGUAAUUCCGUGAUUUGCUGGGUCCCACACGCAGCGCCGGAAUUAAAGAUACGGAUUUGAGAGAAACGUAACUCAACGGCGGCUCCGCGGCUCGGCGAGCGCCGAAUGAAUCAUUCAUUCCAAAGGCAGCCAAAGACGUGUCAUUAGGAGCCGACCUCCUCCUCUCCAUCUGGAAUAUGCGCGCUCCGUGCGAGCCCAGAAAUUGUGGAAGGGAUCGGAGGUGGGAGGAGGGAACGCGGCCCUUCCGCUGCUCCGUUACAUCGGUUAUUUAUAAGAAAUAAUCUUCCCAUUGCUUUGCGCAAUGUUGUGGUUGGUGCUCUGUUCCUCUCCUGCUUUAUUUUCCCUCCCGUGCGAUAGCGCCGAGUCAGGUGCGAGCGUUGAGGUGGAGAUGCUUUAAAACUGGAGCGAACAAAGCGAGCAAGGUGCUUGAUGAAUGCAUUUAUUCCGGAGUAAUGAUUUGAUGGGGGAUGGAAGAAAGAAACAUUCAAAUUCCUAAUGAAUGUAAUUCAGGGGGAAGCGUUGGAGCGGUGGUGGAGGAGAGCUGCGUUGCUGGAGUGCUGCUGUGUGGCACAGCCCAGGAGGUAGUUCUGUCCAUGGCUUUUGUAGUGGCAAAAGGUGGGCAUUUAAAAAGAAAAUCCAAGGAAAAGAAAGUGUGUGUAUAUAUAUAUAUAUAUAUAUGUACACAUAUACGCACACAUAUAAGAAAUGUGUUUGUGUGUGCGUGUGUAAAUACAUAUAUAUGAUUUAUGAAAUAAAAUGGAAGUGUGGCGAUCAGGGUGUGCACGUGAACUCCUACCAAGGACAAGGCAAGCUCUGUCGCCGUGCUCUUGGGUGCUCAGACAGCAUCCUCAGCUCCCCAGUUUCCCCUCCCCGAAGCCCCGUGCUCUCAGCUGACUGUUGGGGUGUUUUGCAGGCGGUAGGGCUGGCCCACGUAUCCCGGAGCUGAUCCCCCACAGUAGGUUUGAGGCAGGGAUGGAGCACUUUGCCCUUUAUGUUCCGGGCAAGAGGAGCUGUGGUCACAUUUUUGCUGGGGUUUCAUUCUUCGUUUUCACCCUGGGAGUCGGCAGUGAGGGUGCACCCAUCCGCACCGCAGUGCCCACCUCGCAGCCCAGUGCCACUUCUCCGCUUUCUGCCUUCUGAUGGGUCGCUGGCCCACCUCCUUUGGACGUGGGAUGGGUUUUGGUGAGCAGGGCCACACCUGAAGCAUCCCAGCAGCCUGCUGCCGCUUGGCCCUGCGCCCUGCUGGUGUCAGUGUCACUGUCAGCCCAAACCUUCCUCCCAAAUCCAGAAGGACGGUGCCUGCUGGUGCUCUCAUCGCUUGUGGGGCGGUGCGGCGCUGCAGGCAGGGAGCAGAGCGUGGCUCCCAGGUCCCUCCUGCUGCUGGUGGCGGUCCCUUUGCAGAGGUACAGGGUGCAGUGCGGGUGGGGUGAGCUCUCCGAGGCCGGGUGUGAUGUCUUUGUUCUUCAGCGGUGCUGGGGGUGGGCAGAGGGAGACGGGGAUGUAAAGAUCCUUGGGGGUAAUUGGAAAAUGCCAUUAGGGGAUCGAUGCCACAGGGCAUCGCGUGCUCCAACUGUUUUAUUUAUUUCUCUUCUCCAGAACUUCUCCCCGUGCAGCGGGAUGGGCUCAUGGAUUUGUAGCCGGUGCCCAACCUGUGUGGCACUGAGUGGGUGGGGAUGGGGCUGCCUGGUGCCUGCUGCUCCAACAAGCUGUGCUGAAUGGAGGCAGGGCCGCUCGGUUAUGGAUGAGAUCCCAUCAAUGGGCAUUUUUGUGGAAUUGCCUGGCGAUGGCUGGUGUGGAGCUGGAGGCCUGGCUCCGUCGGUCCUUUUGUCUCCCUGAUUCAUCGCGUGCUGCCUGCAUCCACCUGGCCCUGUGUCCUGGCUCUGUCUGUGCCAUGGGGCUGCGCUGGAGGCCCUGCCCAGGUCUGAGGCAUACAGCUCCCAUCCCCUCAGCGCAGGGUGCUCUGUGGCAGCCAAGUGCUAAUUUGGCACCGGGAGCUUUUCAGAGCUGUGAGCACGAAGGUGUUUGCAUCUCACACGUAGCGCGGGUGCCACGUGUCACCUGGGCGCUUUGUCACCCCAAAUCCUCACGAGCUGUUGGGGUCGGUGGUGUGAGAUGGGGACAUCGCCGCCUGUGCCAGCUUCCCUCUGCCACCCUGCCCAGAGCUGACUGCGAGUUCGUGGAGCGGGAUGCCUUGGGAAGGGAUGGGACAUCUCCACCUGAGCGAGGAGAGGCCCCUGGAGCAGAACGGAGGUGUAAUGCUGAGGAGCUGCAGGGCAGAGCACAGCUUUGGUCACUUUGGAGUUGGAGAUCUUGAGCCGGGGAGGAGAUCCCAGUGAGGGGAGAAGGGAUGUCCCCAGCCUGACAGCUCCUUCCUGGCUGCGCUCUGCCCGCUCUCUGCCCGAUGUCUCCGGGAUUCUCCAGGAGGGACCCAACCUGCCGUGGCCCCAGCAAGAGGCAGCAUUGGCUGCUGGACGUGGAGGGGUUCUGCAUUGCUUCGCACCUGUGGGGAGGGAGCCAGGGGAUGGGGAGCCUGGCAAAAAUCCCGUGUAACUCCUGUAUGUCACCUCCAGGACCCAAAUACCCCUGGGCAGAGAGGUGUGAGCACCGUCCCAGCUGGGUGUGGGGAUGUUGGUGGGAGCAGGAGGGAGGUCUGAGCGGGAUGGAUGCCAUGUUAAGGGGCUCUGCUCAUGGAGCAGAGCUUGGCCUACGCUGUGCGUGCGUGCGUGAUGGACUGAGCGUGGGCUGACCACGCCUGGUCCAGGCGGUGUUCCAUUGCACUGUAAGAAAAAUGCACUGUAAUUCCCCCCUAAUUAAAAUCAACCCCACCCCGUGCACUGUUGCAAAUAAACACUCCUUUCUGCAAAAGCGAGCUGUGUGAUGUGGUGCAGUACUGAGACGGAG